rnacentral:rRNA from 1 species
CCUACGGGAGGCAGCAGUGAGGAAUAUUGGUCAAUGGGCGUAAGCCUGAACCAGCCAAGUCGCGUGAGGGAUGAAGGCUCUAUGGAUCGUAAACCUCUUUUAUAUGGGAAUAAAGUGUUGGACGUGUCCUGUUUUGUAUGUACCAUAUGAAUAAGGAUCGGCUAACUCCGUGCCAGCAGCCGCGGUAAUACGGAGGAUCCGAGCGUUAUCCGGAUUUAUUGGGUUUAAAGGGUGCGUAGGUGGGUUUUAAGUCAGCGGUGAAAGUCUGGGGCUCAACCGUAGAAUUGCCGUUGAAACUGGGAGGCUUGAGUAUAGUAGAGGUAGGCGGAAUGCGUGGUGUAGCGGUGAAAUGCUUAGAUAUCACGAAGAACCCCGAUUGCGAAGGCAGCCUACUGGACCGUAACUGACGCUGAGGCUCGAAAGCGUGGGGAUCAAACAGGAUUAGAUACCCGAGUAGUC